GAAGGGUAGGCUGGGCCCGCAUCAAGACGCUUGCCCAGGGAAAGGCCACACCGCUCACCAGCGUCUUUGCCAGCUCCCGGGCCUCACCCUCCUUACCCUGCCCCCUUGUCCUGUGUGCAAUAAAUAUCAGCCAGGCUGGUAUCAAACUGACUUCAAACAAUCCUCCUGCAUUGGCCUCCCAAAGUUCAGGGAUUUUAGGCGUGAGCCACUGUGCUUGUCCCUAUAUUUCUUAAAUAUAGUAUAAAAAUAGUAUACACUGUAUGCUCUUAGAU
rnacentral:lncRNA from 1 species